ensembl:lncRNA ATXN8OS ATXN8 opposite strand lncRNA
GGGGGCGGAGGAAGAGGCGGGAUGCGCCCUCUGCACCCCUAGAGCCAGAAGACGCUAGGUGGGCUGCGCGCUCUGCCAGGCGAAGGCUGGAGCGCAGACGGCAAAGCCGCGCGUUUCAGCCGUGGUCGGGUCCGCAGGACCUGGGCGUGGGGACACCACCAGGCAGGAGCAGAGGCAGGACUGGGACGCCAAAAGCUGAGAAUCCUCGAUGCCCGCGCGAGAGCCCCGUGUUAUGGCGAGUUCUGGAGGCUGGGAAGUUCAAGACCAAUGCACGAGAAUUUGGUCUAAAGAGAAUCUUCUUGCUCUGAACACACAUAGUAGAAGGCAGAAGGGCAAGAGAGAGAACAAAGUCUGUGUCUCCACAUGGCAGAAGAGCAGAGGAGACAGAACCUACUCCUCUAUGGCAACCACCCCAUCAAUGACAAAAAUCCUAGAAGGAUGUAUGUAUAGGAAGUUGAAGUGUUGAGAAGAGAAUGGCUCAGAGUCAAGCGGGAACAAGUUCUAUAUCUGGAUAAAGUGCGAAGGAGCUUAAAUCUGUUGAAACCCAAAAUUUGCCUCCGUUUAAUGGCUUAGGACAAUGUCUUCCCAAGGUUACAACACCUUCCAGAGAUCUGCCUACAGUCACUGGCUGGCUAAUGUGAGAAGAUUAAGUCCUGGUCCUUGCCUCUAUUUGGGACAAAUAUGAAGAACCAUCCCAGCUCCACACCACCUCCUGGAAUCAAUUGCAUCCUUACUUGCAAAUGCAUUGCGAGCCAGCUUCUUCUGCCCAAACCUGACUUUCUUUCAUGCCUUUACUGCUACUCUCUGAGGUGUACUUGGGAUUGGCAUUUCCUUGUUCUCUUGGCUAAAACUGUGGUUGUGAACAGCGAGAGAAAGCAUCGACUACACUCACAAAGUAAUUUUUACAGGUGUCCUGCCUUAGUUCCAUUAGAGUUUACUGGAACAUUCCUGUAUUCAGAGCUAUCACAUGCUUGCCUAGAUUAACAGAAUAUUUUGUUUUUCCUCUUUGGCCAUUUAUCCUUCAGUAAGAAGACCCAAAUUAUGGGAUCUAGGAUCUCAGAUGCCAUUCUGAAUUCGUAACAUAUGAAUGAGUUUAUAUAGAGAAAUGUAACCUAAGUGUCUUCAAAACCUUAAUGGUUUAAGGUCUUUAUUCCUUUAAUAUCCAAUAAAAUAACUUCAACAUAUGUCUGAGAAGAUCUGGGAAGUGUUUAUAUGCAAUACAUUUUCUAAGGCAGAAUUAAGAAUUUCGCCACUGGAGCACAGAUGAGUAGGCAACGCAGUCUGCUUUGGGAGCAGGGAAUCACAAAAGGAAACACAUAAAUUAGAUCCUGAAGGAAUGUCAAAGAAUAAUCAAAGUUUUACAUUGGCUUUUAUACUUGGAAACUUUAGACAACCUAACCAUCUCAAGGGAAAACAGCAAACUAAGCUUUUGUUUUAAAUUCCAGAAAGCUGCAGGUUUUUAUGAUAUGCGAAUAAAUAAUAAGUGUGAAAACAAUUUUUAAAAUUCAACUUUUAAAUUUAUUUACAUAUAAAAUGAAUACAAUACAGUCACGCAUCAUUUAACGACAACGAUAUGUUCUGAGAAAUGCAUUAUUAGGUGAUUGUGUCAGUGUGGGAACAUCACAGAAUCUACUUACAAGUAAUAGCCUACUACACACCUAUGCUUUGUGGUGUAGCCUAUUACUUCCAGGCCACAAACCGGUAUAACAUGUUACUGUGCUUAAUACUGCAGGACAUUUAACACAAUGGUGACUGUAUGUGUAUCUAAACGUAUGUAAACAUAGAGGAAGUACAGUAAAAAUAUGAUAUAAAAGAUAAAAAAUGGUACACCUGUAUAGGGCACUGUUAAAAGAAGAGCCUUAUACAAAUUAAAUUUAACAGAGUUUAAUUGAGCAAAGAACUAGUCAGCCUCUGGACCAGAAUAGGUGUAGAGUAUGGUUGAUUUAUGGACAGAAAAAGGAAAGUGACAUAGAGAAAAUCGAAGUGAGGUACAGAAACUGCUGAUUAGGUUAUAACUUUGCAUUUGCCUUCUUCCAACACAGUUUGAAGAGUUGGCUGGUGGAAGCCAGAUGGGCACAAGAGUAGAUUACAGUCUAUUUACACAUCCAGUUAGGUUACAGUUCAUUAUGUACAGAGAAACCUUUGGGCGUAACUUUAAGGAAGAAACUUUAGGCUAAACUUAAUUUAAUAGCACUUAGCAUGAAUAGAGCUAGCAGGACUGGAAAUUGCUCUGGGUGAGUCACUGAGUGAAUGAGUGGUGAAUGGAUGUGAUGGCCUAGGAUAAUUGUGUACAUUUUAAUAAGACUCGUGGUGCAGUACAUUUGUUUAUGUCAGCAUCACCACAAACACACCAGAAUGCAUUGUGCUACAACAUUACCAUGACUAUGUCACUAAUUUUUCAGCUUCAUCAUAAUCUUAGGGAACUACCCUGGUAUAUGCAGUUUGUAGUUGACUGAAACAUUGUGAUGUGAACGAUGACUGUAUAUAAAUAAUAUUAUUUAUUAACUUUCAUUGACUUUUUCUUAUGUGUAAAACAGACAUAAUAUGCAAAUGUUCUAC